CAGGCAGCACACAGUCAGAUGUGGAAGUUUGGACACAUCAGAUAAAGGAGACCCUCACAGACAAGAGGACGUUGUUCUUUACAUGGCAGGAGAGAUACGUGGAAACUCUCGCAGAGCAACAGCGGGUCGCGUCUGAAAGGAAUUCCCCGUCAAUCACCUGUGAUAGGAACACUCAGUUGACUUCUCAGCUUGAAACAAUUUUGGAAAGUCUGCAGACCAAGAAGAUUCACUGUCUGCUGGCCACAAUCCAUAGGCUGGUCCUGUCGCGCUCUUUCUAUUGUGGCCUGGUCAGAAAGUAUACAGAUGAACAAACCAUUGCUGUACAGCUCUCCAGAAAAAAUCAAGCGACAAUCACGCAACAUGGAAGGAACAAGUCACCCCAAUUCCCCCCAAGACUGGAGUAAGAGGAUUUUCUCCAGCAAGAACAUCCAGUCUGGUCCCAGGUGUCAUCCAGUCCCAGGUGAACAUCCAGUCUGUCCCCCAAGCUGUUGGGACCAGUCUGCUCUGGGCAAAGCAGCAUGCAGUGAUGCUGAAAAACAUCUGCCUUAGCGCAGCGGAGGAGAGGCACCUUAUACAGGCAGACCUACAAAAUUGCCUUUUUUUGCCAGAGAGAGCUGGGGCUUUUUGAAGAGGCCCUUGUUCCUCUUGGGCAGGGUAAGGCCGAGCCAACGUGCUUUCACCUGGGUGCCUAUGUGCUGCUCCCAAAGAAAAUGCAGAACAUAUUAAAGCUCCCGUAGGCGUUGCGCCCGAGUGACGCAGGGUCUAAGGGCACUGCAUCUCAGUGCAAAGAGGCGCCACUACAGUCCCUGGUUAUAAAGGCUGUAUCACAUCGGGCCGUGAUUGAGAGUCCCAUAGGGCAACGCACAAUUGGCCCAGCGUCGUCCGGGUUUGGCCGGGGUAGGCUGUCAUUGUAAAUAAGAAUUUAUUCUUAACUGACCUACCUAGUUAAAUAGGAGGACUGUAAACCGGAAGACAGUGAUUCAGAAGAUGAAAGUGGUUGAGUACUGAAUGUCUGUGAGUUCUAUAGGGACAAACUAUACACUUCCAAACAUAAGGAAAACCUGCCCUCAGACCCUGUUUAUUGUUAUUUUAUUGUGUUACUUUUUUUACUUUAGUUUAUUUAACUCUAUUUUCUUAACUGCAUUGUUGGUUUAGGGCUAGUCAGUAAGCAUUUCACUAUAAGCCUGUUCACCUUUUGUAUGUGUCGAAAGAGUUCAACAGGGAUGCUGGUCCAUGUUGACUCCAAUGCUUCACACAGUUGUGUCAAGUUGGCUGGUUGUCCUUUGGGUGGUGGACCAUUAUUGAUACACACAGGAAACUGUUGAGUGUGAAAAAGCCAGCAGCGUUGCCAUUCUUGACACAAAACGGUGCACCUCAUUUGUCUUGCCCAUUCACCAUCUGAAUGGCACACAUACACAAUCCAAGUCUCAAUUGUCUCAAGGCUUAGAAAUCAUUCUUUAACCCGUCUCCUCCCCUUCAUCUACACUGAUUCAAGUGGAUUUAACAAGUGACUUUAAUAAGAGAUUGUUGUGUCUGUGACUAACAUUAAUGUGAUGACAUGCUAUUUUAUCAAAUCGAUUACGUAACGUUUAAUUGAUUACGUGAUUGAAUUAAAUCAUGCAACAAUUAACUCAUUAAUAACGUGGGGCACCACGGAGAAGUUUAUUUAAGAAGUUCCGUCUUCCGUGCCUAUGGCAACGAGUGACAAUUUUACAACCAGACCAUCUACUACGUCAUCCACAAGUGUUGUCCCCAUCGGUGCAUCAAGACCCUCAACGUCAUCUACAUGUGCAACCAUCUGGUGCAGCGAGACCCUCUACAACAUCUACAUCAUCCACAAGUAUGACCACCAUUGGUGCAGCCAUGGAAGACGAUGAAAUGGAGGAAGCACCUCUGGAUCUAGGACCACCUGAGAUUAUUAUGAACCUCAUGGAAGCCAGAGAACGCCAGUCAGCCAGGAGCUGCCAGAGCCAUCAGUCAGCCAGGAGCUGCCAGAGCCAUCAGUCAGCCAGGAGCUGCCAGAGCCGUCAGUCAGCCAGGAGCUGCCAGAAUCGCCCUUCACUCCAGAGCUGCCGGAGUCUUCCGUCCAUUCGGGACCUGGGGCUAGCAUCCCCAGUCUGAGGUCGGCGGCGAGGGUCGCCGUUUAAGAGGCCACGGAGGCGGAUAAAGAGGCGGGGUCCACGUCCCGCGCCAGAGCCGCCACGGCGGACAGAAUUUGAGGGAUAUUAUAUUAUAGGCUCUCACAAUUAAUUUGUGGAUGUCAUCGAGUAAAUCAGGGGUGUCAAACUCAAAUACCCAGUGGGCCAAAAUGUAAAACCUGAACAAAGUCACGGGCCAACAUUGAACAAAUUAACC